UACGUAGGGUGCAAGCGUUAAUCGGAAUUACUGGGCGUAAAGCGUGCGCAGGCGGUUGUGCAAGACAGAUGUGAAAUCCCCGGGCUUAACCUGGGAAUGGCAUUUGUGACUGCACGGCUAGAGUGUGUCAGAGGGGGGUAGAAUUCCACGUGUAGCAGUGAAAUGCGUAGAUAUGUGGAGGAACACCGAUGGCGAAGGCAGCCCCCUGGGUCAAAACUGACGCUCAUGCACGAAAGCGUGGGGAGCAAACAGG
rnacentral:rRNA from 1 species